GGUCUUUGCCCGCUACAGGUUGCUGUUCGCAAUCCUCUUCCAGGGGCACAGCUUCUUUGCUCUGCUGCCGCUCGCCGUGCGCCUGUACCGCUACCCGUUGGCUCUGUGCAUUGCUAUUGCAUCGGCUGCGCUGCUGUUCCAGCCGUCCUUCUGCGUCUCUGACUCCGCCUUCGUCC